CGACCGGCGCACGGGUGCGUAACGCGUAUGUAACCUACCUAUAACAGGGGCAUAACACUGAGAAAUUGGUACUAAUUCCCCAUAAUAUUCGGAGAGGCAUCUCUCCGGGUUGAAAACUCCGGUGGUUAUAGAUGGACAUGCGUUGCAUUAGCUAGUUGGUGAGGUAACGGCUCACCAAGGCAACGAUACAUAGGGGGACUGAGAGGUUAACCCCCCACACUGGUACUGAGACACGGACCAG
rnacentral:rRNA from 1 species